UACAGAGGGUGCGAGCGUUGUCCGGAAUCACUGGGCGUAAAGGGCGCGUAGGCGGCUCGGUCAGCGUGCGGUGAAAGCCCGGGGCUCAACCCCGGGUCGGCCGUGCGAACUGCUGGGCUGGAGCACUGUAGAGGCAGGUGGAAUUCCGGGUGUAGCGGUGGAAUGCGUAGAGAUCCGGAAGAACACCGGCGGCGAAGGCGGCCUGCUGGGCAGUAGCUGACGCUGAUGCGCGACAGCGUGGGGAGCAAACAGG
rnacentral:rRNA from 1 species